rnacentral:rRNA from 1 species
UACGUAGGGGGCAAGCGUUGUCCGGAUUUAUUGGGCGUAAAGAGCGUGUAGGCGGCUUUUCAGGUCCGUUGUGAAAACUCGAGGCUCAACCUCGAGACGCCGGUGGAAACCGUAAGGCUAGAGUCCGGAAGAGGAGAGUGGAAUUCCUGGUGUAGCGGUGAAAUGCGCAGAUAUCAGGAAGAACACCCGUGGCGAAGGCGGCUCUCUGGGACGGUACUGACGCUGAGACGCGAAAGCGUGGGGAGCGAACAGG